AUGCUUAUUUGGUGGGGGGGGGGGGAGAAUACCACCUCAAGAAAAUGGUUUUCCCAGGGUGAGGCCUAUCCAUUGCACUGCGGGUGCGUUGAUCCCUGCGAUUUUUUCCAAUACUGGAAACUCGACUGCGCAAUUUGUGGUAGUGGGGGAUUGCGUGCGCGCUUUCCCCUG
ensembl:snRNA U1 U1 spliceosomal RNA